GACGAACGCUGGCGGCGCGCUUAACACAUGCAAGUCGAACGGAAAGGCCUGCUUUCCCUUGUGGAUUGCGGGUACUCGAGUGGCGAACGGGUGAGUAACACGUGAGUGAUCUGCCCCCAACUUGGGUAUAAGCCUGGGAAACUGGGUCUAAUUCCCGAUAGGACUGCAGGGUGGUGCCUGUGGUGGAAAACGAUUUUCUAGUGGUUGGGGAUGAGCUCGCGGCCUAUCAGCUUGUUGGUGGGGUAAUGGCCUACCAAGGCGGCGACGGGUAGCCGGCCUGGGAGGGGGGCCGGCAAAAUGGGACCGGGGAAACGGCCCAGACCCCACGGGGAGGCGGCGGUGGGGAAUAUGGACCAAUGGGGGGAGGCUGGAUGCAGGGCGGCCGGGUGGGGAUGGCCGGCCUCGGGGUUGAAACUCCUUUCGACCGCGAGGAAGCCACCUGGUUGGAAGGGUGGUGACGGUAGUGGUAGAAGAAGCACCGGCUAACUACGUG
rnacentral:rRNA from 1 species